rnacentral:rRNA from 1 species
AAAUUGAAGAGUUUGAUCAUGGCUCAGAUUGAACGCUGGCGGCAGGCCUAACACAUGCAAGUCGAACGGUAACAGGAAGAAGCUUGCUUCUUUGCUGACGAGUGGCGGACGGGUGAGUAAUGUCUGGGAAGCUGCCUGAUGGAGGGGGAUAACUACUGGAAACGGUAGCUAAUACCGCAUAACGUCGCAAGACCAAAGAGGGGGACCUUCGGGCCUCUUGCCAUCGGAUGUGCCCAGAUGGGAUUAGCUAGUAGGUGGGGUAACGGCUCACCUAGGCGACGAUCCCUAGCUGGUCUGAGAGGAUGACCAGCCACACUGGAACUGAGACACGGUCCAGACUCCUACGGGAGGCAGCAGUGGGGAAUAUUGCACAAUGGGCGCAAGCCUGAUGCAGCCAUGCCGCGUGUAUGAAGAAGGCCUUCGGGUUGUAAAGUACUUUCAGCGGGGAGGAAGGGAGUAAAGUUAAUACCUUUGCUCAUUGACGUUACCCGCAGAAGAAGCACCGGCUAACUCCGUGCCAGCAGCCGCGGUAAUACGGAGGGUGCAAGCGUUAAUCGGAAUUACUGGGCGUAAAGCGCACGCAGGCGGUUUGUUAAGUCAGAUGUGAAAUCCCCGGGCUCAACCUGGGAACUGCAUCUGAUACUGGCAAGCUUGAGUCUCGUAGAGGGGGGUAGAAUUCCAGGUGUAGCGGUGAAAUGCGUAGAGAUCUGGAGGAAUACCGGUGGCGAAGGCGGCCCCCUGGACGAAGACUGACGCUCAGGUGCGAAAGCGUGGGGAGCAAACAGGAUUAGAUACCCUGGUAGUCCACGCCGUAAACGAUGUCGACUUGGAGGUUGUGCCCUUGAGGCGUGGCUUCCGGAGCUAACGCGUUAAGUCGACCGCCUGGGGAGUACGGCCGCAAGGUUAAAACUCAAAUGAAUUGACGGGGGCCCGCACAAGCGGUGGAGCAUGUGGUUUAAUUCGAUGCAACGCGAAGAACCUUACCUGGUCUUGACAUCCACGGAAGUUUUCAGAGAUGAGAAUGUGCCUUCGGGAACCGUGAGACAGGUGCUGCAUGGCUGUCGUCAGCUCGUGUUGUGAAAUGUUGGGUUAAGUCCCGCAACGAGCGCAACCCUUAUCCUUUGUUGCCAGCGGUCCGGCCGGGAACUCAAAGGAGACUGCCAGUGAUAAACUGGAGGAAGGUGGGGAUGACGUCAAGUCAUCAUGGCCCUUACGACCAGGGCUACACACGUGCUACAAUGGCGCAUACAAAGAGAAGCGACCUCGCGAGAGCAAGCGGACCUCAUAAAGUGCGUCGUAGUCCGGAUUGGAGUCUGCAACUCGACUCCAUGAAGUCGGAAUCGCUAGUAAUCGUGGAUCAGAAUGCCACGGUGAAUACGUUCCCGGGCCUUGUACACACCGCCCGUCACACCAUGGGAGUGGGUUGCAAAAGAAGUAGGUAGCUUAACCUUCGGGAGGGCGCUUACCACUUUGUGAUUCAUGACUGGGGUGAAGUCGUAACAAGGUAACCGUAGGGGAACCUGCGGUUGGAUCACCUCCUUA